rnacentral:rRNA from 1 species
UACGAAAGGGGCUAGCGUUGCUCGGAUUUACUGGGCGUAAAGGGCGCGUAGGCGGACAGUUUAGUCAGAGGUGAAAGCCCAGGGCUCAACCUUGGAAUUGCCUUUGAUACUGGCUGUCUUGAGUACGGGAGAGGUGAGUGGAACUCCGAGUGUAGAGGUGAAAUUCGUAGACAUUCGGAAGAACACCAGUGGCGAAGGCGACUCACUGGCCCGUUACUGACGCUGAGGCGCGAAAGCGUGGGGAGCAAACAGG